GAAGCUGAGACUAGUGAUCCGAGCUCAGCAUCGAUCACCACCACUACCUCAACAUUGAUCGACACCAACACCGCAACAUCGAUCGAUGAUAUGUGGUGUUUUAGACAUCUUGUAUAUAUGCUUUUCAAUUAGUUUUCAAGUCUUUAUUGAGUCUUCCUAGUCCUUUACGAGUCAUUACAGGUCUGGAGUUGCAUUGGAUGGGCGAUGGCUGGAACACAAGAGGCAGAAAAGAGUGCAAUUUGGUGAUUUUCACGCAAAACAGUCUUGAUGGUUGUUCCCGAUCGCGCAGAAUACCCCGAGUGUCUGUUCCAGCGGCAAAGAUUUUUAAGGAAGUUUCCAAAUAUUUCGGGUACCUAGGGCUUCCCCCUUUUUCUCCUUGGCCGCAAGAGACCUGCAAAUAUAUCUUUUCUUAUUCUUUUAGACAUUCUACGUUAGUUUUUGGAGAAGAAACCAGAUUGGAGCUUUUGGAGAUUUGUGAUUUGAUACUUUGUAAAGGGAUAAUUCUAUCUCUCUCGAUUUAGAGAAGAACCUCCUGAACCUUAUUUUUGUUUUAUCUACACAUGUUUUCUUCAUCUGUUAUCUCUGUGAUUUCUCUGUUCAUGUCUGAGUAGUCGCUUGCUAGGUUUAGGGUGUUAGGGAUCAUAGAUAAAUGAGCUAGACACAAAUAGGAUUGUUAUUCUUUGAUAUCUCUAUCUAUUGUUAUGCUUACUGCUUAUGUUAAACUGGCAAUUUAGCAUCUGAUAUAUAGGUUUAAUCUAAUCAUCAAAAGUGUUUUAGGUUGCUAGAAAAAGCAUAGAUAGGCGAUUUGUCCUUAGACAACGAAAGCUGAUGCUAAGGCAAAUCGUGAACCAAUUGAAUCUGAACUUAAUGCGUGUCAUCAUUCUCUGAUCCAAAUGACAGUUUAGGCAUUAGGAUUGCUUGAUAAAUUGGUAGACACCACGACAGUGGGUUUAUCUAUUCUUGUUGUUCAAGUUCUAGAUUGGCUCUUAUUGCCUUCCUGAAUAGUUGUGUAGCUCAUGUUCUAAGUAUUCCAAUGAAUCACCCUGAACCUAGCUCUUUUAAUCAUCUGAAAUCUUUAAUUAAUCUUGUUACUUGCUUGAUAUUGAUCCUAUAGAAAUAAAGUGUAAAUUGGUCCUCUGGAAAUAAAUCUCAAAUAUUACAUCUGCACUAUUAGCUUGCAGCAGUAAAGACACAAUUUUAGUGUAUCAACCGACCACAACACCUCAGCAACGAUCUACACAGACUUUUGUCAUCGAUAGAUACCACUUGAAAUCUCUGAAAAAUCAAGUUUUCCUCAGGACAUCGCAGACUCGGAACAAAAGAGUACUGAUGUAUUAAGUUGUUAUCAUGCCCCAAAUGUAGAAUAAGAGAUCACCAUGGAAGAUUUCUUGGAGCUAGAAGAACUCUUGGAGUUAAAGGAUGGAGAAAAGCUUGGAGAUUUGGAUUCGAGUAGGGAAGUCACUAUGGAAGACUUCUUGGAGCUGGAGGAAUGGCUUUAAGAUAUGGAUAAAAAUUCAAAGAAGAAGCUUGAUGACGAUCAGCAUACUUCGAGAGGAGAUCUGGAAACUUCACCAAAGGCUAGCAUCGAUCGACACCAACCUGAUGAGAUCGAUCAAAAAUAACCCCACAUCGUCGAUCAACUCCCACCCUAUAUCAUCGAUCGACACUCAGCAGAUAGCAUCGAUCUACACCCACACUCCAUCAUCGAUCGACACCCACUCGAGAUCAUCGAUCGACACCCAUCGCUGUAAGAACUGCCAGGAUACAUGAUUGAAAUAGGACCGAUUGAGGAGUGAGUGCACAAAUCUGAGACCUCACACCUUGUUGUCCCCGAACAUCUAAGACCACCUAUAUGCACAUAAGAAGCUGUUAGGAUUCGCAAAAGAGUGAAGAGGAUACAUGAUCCUGUGAGGAUUAUGGUUCCAUGCGAUGUAUUUGAUGCUGAAUCUCCUAUUCCACCUAAUAGAAGUAUGAAGUUCAGUUCUUACAUUGAGGUACUUGAUGAUCCUCUAUAUGCAGAAGCUUCUCAGAGAGGAUUGAUAUUUAGAAGUGAAGUCGAUACAUACCCCACAAAAUCAGUAUCGAACGAUAUCAAUAAGUCGGGAUCGAUCAACACUACCACUUCACCAUCGAUCGACACUACUACUUCAUCGUCGAUCAACAGUGGACGCAUAUCAAAGCAGAAGGAGUUUGAUGUGUGUGAAAAUAUUUUGAUGGAGUUAACACCACGCGAUCAGACAAGUUUGAGAGAAAUAAGAGGAGGAAUUGGAAGAAGAGAAAAAUGAUCAAGGACGGUCCUCAGUUAUCAUUGAUUCCUCACUUAUCAGAUGGUGUCAGGAAAUCCAGAGUGUGCAGCAUCAAAGCCAUUUGCAAAGCUUCGAGCAAUCCUUACGGCUGAGAUAAUAGACAAACGAGAAGAGUCUAUGGAGGAGGCUUUCACAAAAUAAUGAUAAAGCUUCAGAAACUUGUUUGGAGCGAGUUCUCAUUCUCAUCCGGGCUGAAUCAGAUCUCCAGAAGUCAAGCUAAAUGACUAUAAUAAAGCGCUGAGUGGGAGGCAACCCACUAUUUGGUAAUUUUAUUCAGUUUAGGUUAAAAAAAUGAAUAGUAAGGACGACACUGUAGCAGCGCCGAGCGACACUGUAGCAAGAACAUCGAACCGCACUGUAGCAAGAAAAUCGAAUGGCAUGUAGCAAGAAAAUCGAGCGGCACUGUAGCAGCAACUUUGACUGACACUUUAGCAGAAAAUUAGAAGUUACUGUAGCUGAGAUACUGUAACAGGGUACUGUAUCAAAGUCACUAUUCAUUAAAAAAAAAUAAAAAAUUUUGAAUUGGUUUUAUUAAUUAUCUAUUACUGACUUUUAUUGUUUUUUUUUUAUGUUAGGUAAAAACAAAAGAUCCGAGGAAGACGAGUUUGCAUAAGAAUCGACGUUGACUAGCUAGCAUCGAUCGACUAAGCAUCACAAGUAUCAAUCACCACUUAACUGUGUUGAUCGAUACUCACAUCAAUCGCCACUUAACUGUGUUGAUCGAUACUCACAUCAAUCGGCACAUCAACCAAUGAGACCAGCUUGAUAUCGAUCGACAACGCUUCAGCAACAACGAUUAAUUGUCACUUCAUUGUGUCGAUCGACACUGACAUCAUCGAGCAGGUUAUCGUUCUUAGUUGUUAAAUUGUGUACUUAUGUUUAUGUUAUCAACAUAACUCCGACUGAAUUUACACUGGGGACAGUGUAGUUUAAGUCUGGGAGAGAGGUUUACUGAUAUUGGUUUAUUCAUGAGUCUUAUUAAAAUGUUUUCAAAAAUAAGAUUUUAUUGAGUCAAGAAAGAGACAAUGAACUUAUUGAUUUUGCUUGUUAUCUAACCACACCAUUCUAGACUUAAUAGUUGCAGAUAGCACUAAAGAUACUAAAUUGGAUCAACAUGUCAACUAUGUUACACUUGCUGAGAAUGUUUGAAGGAACCAAAGCUGACUUCCAACCUAACUAAGCUCAACUUGCUUGUCUUGGGGCUUGGUAUACAUGAGAUUAGAUUCUUCAAACAAGUCUGGAAGGUAAAAGCCUUGUGUAGAUAUGUCACCCUCUCUCUCUCUCUCUAUUUCAAAAUUUAGAUUA